rnacentral:misc_RNA from 1 species
GAUGAAGAACGUAGCGAAAUGCGAUAAGUAAUGUGAAUUGCAGAAUUCAGUGAAUCAUCGAAUCUUUGAACGCACAUUGCGCCCGCCAGUAUUCUGGCGGGCAUGCCUGUUCGAGCGUCAUUUCAACCAUCAAGCCCCCGGGCUUGUGUUGGGGACCUGCGGCUGCCGCAGGCCCUGAAAUCCAGUGGCGGGCUCGCUGACACACCGAGCGUAGUAGAUUUACAACCUCGCUUUGGGAGUGCUGCGGGUGCUAGCCGUAAAACGACCUUGUCUUUAGCACUAGGUUGAACUCGGAUCAGGUAGGAAGACCCGCUGAACUUAAGCAUAUCAAUAAGCGGAGGAA